GGGGACCGUGGCUGGCGGUGGCCCAGCUUCUGUUCUCACUGCUCUGUGGAAAGAGCCCUCCACCAAUCACCAAUAACUUCCUAACUGAUAGAUCUGCGAGCCAGGACUUCCCCUAGAGAAACUUUACACGCAAGUGGAGGUGGAGAGAAGCAUUAAACAAGUAAAUAAACAUAGAGUCCUUUUCCAGGUGUUCUCCAUUUCUUGAGAACGGAGGAAGUGCUUGGGAUUCUCAGCUGGGACGCGUAGACCGAACCUCUAACUGAUCACAAAAUAAACAUAUCACUUGUAAAAAUAACACUGGAACAAUUCACAACCUACGAUGCAGGCUUCCAGUGACACUUCCAACUCUGGUUGUUUAUCCCGAUCUGUGAAAAAGAGCAUUCUUCAGAUUUGGAGUCGUUGGCAGUGAUGUGCAAAAUGCAGCGUUUCCAGAAUCAUCCACCGCUCGAGGUGGAGGCGUGUUUGAAAUUGCACAGAAAGGGGGAUGUUUCGCAAAACGAGGACAGAAACGAGCUACCUAUGCAAUAAAGAGUGACUUAUUCUCAAAGUCAGUUAA